GAUGAACGCUAGCUACAGGCUUAACACAUGCAAGUCGGAGGGCAGCAUUGGAGUAGCAAUACUUCAGAUGGCGACCGGCGCACGGGGUGAGUAACACGUAUCCAACCUGCCGCUUACUCGGGGAUAGCCUUUCGAAAGAAAGAUUAAUACCCGAUGGUAUAAAGAGUUCGCAUGUUCUCUUUAUUAAAGAAUUUCGGUAAGCGAUGGGGAUGCGUUCCAUUAGAUUGUUGGCGGGGUAACGGCCCACCAAGUCUACGAUGGAUAGGGGUUCUGAGAGGAAGGUCCCCCACAUUGGAACUGAGACACGGUCCAAACUCCUACGGGAGGCAGCAGUGAGGAAUAUUGGUCAAUGGACGCGAGUCUGAACCAGCCAAGUAGCGUGAAGGAUGACUGCCCUAUGGGUUGUAAACUUCUUUUAUAAGGGAAUAAAGUGAGGGACGUGUCCCUUUUUGUAUGUACCUUAUGAAUAAGGAUCGGCUAACUCCGUGCCAGCAGCCGCGGUUAAAACGUAGCGUG
rnacentral:rRNA from 1 species